CAAACGUAGAACCCCAAAACACGUUGAGAAUGCCCGGGGCCAAGGGAGAUACGGUGCCAGACAAACGCUGGGGGUUAAUAGUGAGAACGAGAUGUUAAGCGGCUGCGGGUUAAUCAUAAUAAUAAUCUUAAUGAUCGCGUUCACACAAAUGUGUCUCUGUGUUUGUUUCUGCUAACUGGCAAUAACCCGCCUAAAAGGAAAAAUAAAAAAUAAAAAUAAACUGCAAUAUGGAUUUUCAGUUAAUACCGCGAAUAGCCCCCCUUUUGGUAAGUGAUAACCCAGUAUGCCAUUUAAUAGAUUGUUUUUGUUUUAGGCUUUCUAGAACGCACUUUGGGCCGAGCGUGCAGUUGCGCAAUUAGAAGAUCUUUCAACAGGGGGCCGAUCAACUCGUGUUGACAACCUGCUGGGUUUUCGUUUUUAAAUUUGCAUCGCCUGUCAACUGAAUUUUAUGUAAUUUCUCUGAAGCUUCUCUGGAAGGCGAGGCUAUGACCAGACGGCUGACAUGGUUCACUGCGACAACUGAUGGGCGUCCCGCGGAGUUGAGACUGUUAUGGCUAAAAAACAGAACAAAAAAAUUGUUCGCCCACACGCAAGUGGACGAGUUAUAAUUCGCUUAUACUAAUGUAAACGUUAAAGGAAAUCUGUUCAGACCUUCGAUCUGAGUAAUUCAAACACGAGCCGCUAAAAUCGAUUACGCUGGGAUUAAGAAAGAAACGUUAACACUGUUUUCCACGACAUUCGCAUAUAAAUAAUAUUUGUAGUAUGCCCUCAUCGUUUAUCUAUAUGCCACAGCUCGGGCUCUGGGGACCAUAAUCGUAAUUGUUUAAAAUUUCUCCAUAGUUUUUCAUUCAUUCAUUCAUAUUGUCGAGACCUUCAAUUAGCAUGUCGACCCUCCCAUUACUGUGCGAUCUAAUG